CUCACGAAAGCUCUUGUUGGAACAGCUCACGAAAGAUCUUGCUUUAAGAGCUCACGAAAGCUCUGACUGGAACGGCUCACGAAAGCUCUUGUUGGAACAGCUCACGAAAGCUCAUGUUGAUGGUUAGCAGGCAAAUUGGAACAGGUGUCUCACACCUUGAACAAGAAGAGAAAGGACAGAGUAAAAUAAAUACCUCAGGCUAUCAGUGGCAAAAUCUGUAUCGACAUGGACUCGGCAGACCUGUCACUUCCUCGUCUUUCUGUCAUCGUAGCCUACUACUCCGCAAAUAAUAAACAAGAUAAAUUUUGGUAGCCGCCGUGAUUGGUACAAAGGCUCAUUUAAAAUUCACCCUCUAGAUCUGGAUGUGACUGUAGGUUUUCAUCAGAAAAUCGUAUUGCGAUCAUUGAGGCGUGUUAAGAGCGACAGGAUUCACGUGAAGGCUACUGUUAUGCAAGUUGGAGAAUACAGAGGUAAACUGCGGCGUAGUCUUGUCAACAUUGUAUGGCCUCCCCCCUACUCCUUGUUGAUGAGUCUGCCUGUCUAUGGAUUGAUGUCAAUGACUACUUUACAACUGAUGAACAAGACAAGAAGUUCUCAAAUAUUGAAUCAUUUCAGUCAGCUGAAGCGGGACUGAAAAGAACGAAUCAGGAAUUAGAAAUUUAUGGCCUACCUAUCGGUAGUCCGGAAAUUAUACUUCUGUCGUUAAAAGCAGUGAAAUAUUAGGACAGAAAACUGUGGUUAA